rnacentral:lncRNA from 1 species
GAGGGCACAGUAGAUGAGUUGUUACAGCUCGUUGUCCUUCAUACUUCCUCCUCUUUAGGAGGUUACCUUUGUGGUGUCCUUUACUAAGGUAUUCAAAAGGCAGAGGGAUUUUUUGCUUGUAAUACUUCCUGAAAAGACCAAAUUGGUUGGUUUUUAAGCCAAUUAAUCUAAGAAGAGAACACCUGUCUCUCCUUAAAUAAUGAGUCCGAUGUUUUCCCAUGAAUACAUUUUGGGAAAUAAUGCUGAUCAGUGGAGCCAUAAUUCAUUUCUAGUCAUCUAUUUCUUCCAAUUUGAAACAAAUAAAAGCUUCCUGGUCGCGAGGCUCCUGGGAAGAAAAAACAAGCUGAUUGUUCUCUUGCCUGUGGAGAUAUUCUCCGUGAAGAGGAGCUCAGAUGUACUUGGCAGUGAUUGACUUGUUUAAAGACGAGGGUAGCAGUGUUAGAAGAGGCACUUGUUCAUUUUUAAGUCGCGGAGCCUAAAUGAGGUAGACUGUUAGAAGGCUCCUUCAGUCUUCUGUCGUGUUUGCUUGUGAACUAAUGACCAUUCUGGGCGUAGAUAUUAACUGCAAGUUGUUCUGAAGAAACUCACUGCUGUUGCACGCAUAUGAAUAACGCCUUAUCUCUCAACUGCCUUUCACGCUAAAGCAGCUCAGGAAAUUCCUAUGCAAUGAAUUAUUUUACAUGAAUAGUUUUAUCUCGGCCUACAGAUGAGAAAUUGGAGAAACGAUUCACAGGAUAUUUCUGUACAGUAAUAGAAAAAUAAUAGCUAUUUUCUUUUUAAAAAAUGAAAUAAAAUAAGUUUUGUGCCCAUAAGGUUUAGAAAGAACACAUCAAGAAUGGUUAGAGACAAAGCACUGAUUAGAAUUCCUGUGUCUCAUUCCUUUUGGUUCAGACAUGACCUUGAGCAAAUCGUUUGAAAUCAUCUCCAUUUCACUGGAUAUGUUAUGC